UACGGGGGGGGCAAGCGUUGUUCGGAAUUACUGGGCGUAAAGGGCGCGUAGGCGGCCAACUAAGUCGGACGUGAAAUCCCCGGGCUCAACCCGGGAACUGCGUCCGAUACUGGAUGGCUUGAAUCCGGGAGAGGGAUGCGGAAUUCCAGGUGUAGCGGUGAAAUGCGUAGAUAUCUGGAGGAACACCGGUGGCGAAGGCGGCAUCCUGGACCGGUAUUGACACUGAGGCGCGAAAGCCAGGGGAGCAAACGGG
rnacentral:rRNA from 1 species